rnacentral:rRNA from 1 species
CAGGCUUAACACAUGCAAGUCGAGGGGCAUCAGGAAGAAAGCUUGCUUUCUUUGCUGGCGACCGGCGCACGGGUGAGUAACACGUAUCCAACCUGCCCUUUACUCGGGGAUAGCCUUUCGAAAGAAAGAUUAAUACCCGAUAGCAUAAUGAUUCCGCAUGGUUUCAUUAUUAAAGGAUUCCGGUAAAGGAUGGGGAUGCGUUCCAUUAGGUUGUUGGUGAGGUAACGGCCCACCAAGCCUUCGAUGGAUAGGGGUUCUGAGAGGAAGGUCCCCCACAUUGGAACUGAGACACGGUCCAAACUCCUACGGGAGGCAGCAGUGAGGAAUAUUGGUCAAUGGGCGCUAGCCUGAACCAGCCAAGUAGCGUGAAGGAUGAAGGCUCUAUGGGUCGUAAACUUCUUUUAUAUAAGAAUAAAGUGCAGUAUGUAUACUGUUUUGUAUGUAUUAUAUGAAUAAGGAUCGGCUAACUCCGUGCCAGCAGCCGCGGUAAUACGGAGGAUCCGAGCGUUAUCCGGAUUUAUUGGGUUUAAAGGGAGCGUAGGUGGACUGGUAAGUCAGUUGUGAAAGUUUGCGGCUCAACCGUAAAAUUGCAGUUGAUACUGUCAGUCUUGAGUACAGUAGAGGUGGGCGGAAUUCGUGGUGUAGCGGUGAAAUGCUUAGAUAUCACGAAGAACUCCGAUUGCGAAGGCAGCUCACUGGACUGCAACUGACACUGAUGCUCGAAAGUGUGGGUAUCAAACAGGAUUAGAUACCCUGGUAGUCCACACAGUAAACGAUGAAUACUCGCUGUUUGCGAUAUACAGUAAGCGGCCAAGCGAAAGCAUUAAGUAUUCCACCUGGGGAGUACGCCGGCAACGGUGAAACUCAAAGGAAUUGACGGGGGCCCGCACAAGCGGAGGAACAUGUGGUUUAAUUCGAUGAUACGCGAGGAACCUUACCCGGGCUUAAAUUGCAGUGGAAUGAUGUGGAAACAUGUCAGUGAGCAAUCACCGCUGUGAAGGUGCUGCAUGGUUGUCGUCAGCUCGUGCCGUGAGGUGUCGGCUUAAGUGCCAUAACGAGCGCAACCCUUAUCUUCAGUUACUAACAGGUCAUGCUGAGGACUCUGGAGAGACUGCCGUCGUAAGAUGUGAGGAAGGUGGGGAUGACGUCAAAUCAGCACGGCCCUUACGUCCGGGGCUACACACGUGUUACAAUGGGGGGUACAGAAGGCAGCUAGCGGGUGACCGUAUGCUAAUCCCAAAAGCCUCUCUCAGUUCGGAUCGAAGUCUGCAACCCGACUUCGUGAAGCUGGAUUCGCUAGUAAUCGCGCAUCAGCCACGGCGCGGUGAAUACGUUCCCGGGCCUUGUACACACCGCCCGUCAAGCCAUGGGAGCCGGGGGUACCUGAAGUACGUAACCGCAAGGAUCGUCCUAGGGUAAAACUGGUGACUGGGGCUAAGU